AGACUGACUGGGAUAGGCAUCACCAGGGUUGACCUUUCUCCCAUUCUACAUAUGUCCCUCUCAAAGCUGUAGGCUUGGUUGCAGAGACUGCCCAUCUAAAGGAGGUGAGGACUUUUGUUGGGCCAAAGCUGUCCAGUAGCUGCAUUCCCCUGCUGGAGCCUCUGAACUCCCAGGGCCCAUGUAGAGGGAGCUAACCUGCUCUAUGUCAGCACUGUAUUAGGUACUUUAAUGUACUUGUCU
rnacentral:sRNA from 1 species